rnacentral:tRNA from 1 species
GCCCAGGUGGAGGAAUUGGUAUACUCAGCAGCUUGAGGUGCUGUGCCCGUAAGGGCGUGUGGGUUCGACUCCCACCCUGGGCAUCA